rnacentral:rRNA from 1 species
CUUUGAUCCUGGCUCAAGACGAACGCUGGCGGCGUGCUUAACACAUGCAAGUCGAACGGAGCGCCCUUGAAGGAGUUUUCGGACAACGGAUAGGAAUGCUUAGUGGCGGACUGGUGAGUAACGCGUGAGGAACCUGCCUUUCGGGGGGGGACAACAGUUGGAGACGACUGCUAAUACCGCAUGACAUAUCUGUGUCGCAUGGCAUGGAUAUCAAAGAUUUAUCGCCGAAAGAUGGCCUCGCGUCUGAUUAGCUAGUUGGUGAGGUAACGGCCCACCAAGGCGACGAUCGGUAGCCGGACUGAGAGGUUGGCCGGCCACAUUGGGACUGAGAUACGGCCCAGACUCCUACGGGAGGCAGCAGUGGGGAAUAUUGGGCAAUGGACGCAAGUCUGACCCAGCAACGCCGCGUGAAGGAAGAAGGCUUUCGGGUUGUAAACUUCUUUUAAGGGGGAAGAGCGGAAGACGGUACCCCUUGAAUAAGCCACGGCUAACUACGUGCCAGCAGCCGCGGUAAUACGUAGGUGGCAAGCGUUGUCCGGAUUUACUGGGUGUAAAGGGCGUGCAGCCGGAGAGGCAAGUCAGAUGUGAAAUCCGCGGGCUCAACCCGCGAACUGCAUUUGAAACUGCUUCCCUUGAGUAUCGGAGAGGUAACCGGAAUUCCUAGUGUAGCGGUGAAAUGCGUAGAUAUUAGGAAGAACACCAGUGGCGAAGGCGGGUUACUGGACGACAACUGACGGUGAGGCGCGAAAGCGUGGGGAGCAGACAGGAUUAGAUACCCUGGUAGUCCACGCUGUAAACGAUCAGUACUAGGUGUGCGGGGACUGACCCCGUGCGUGCCGGAGUUAACGCAAUAAGUACCGCUCGGGGGGAG